GACCUGGUGGUGUAUGGUGCACACCCAUAAUACCUAAGAGGUGCGGGACAAGUGUAUAAUGGGAGGUCCUCGUUCGAUUCGGGGUCAGGUCA